rnacentral:rRNA from 1 species
UACGUAGGGUGCAAGCGUUGUCCGGAAUUAUUGGGCGUAAAGAGCGCGCAGGCGGUCGUUCAAGUCGCGUGUGAAAGCCCCCGGCUCAACUGGGGAGGGUCAUUCGAUACUGAUCGACUCGAAGGCAGGAGAGGGUAGUGGAAUUCCCGGUGUAGUGGUGAAAUGCGCAGAUAUCAGGAGGAACACCGGUGGCGAAGGCGGAUCUCUGGGCCUUACCUGACGCUCAGGCGCGAAAGCUAGGGGAGCGAACAGG